rnacentral:rRNA from 1 species
UACAGAGGGUGCGAGCGUUAAUCGGAAUUACUGGGCGUAAAGCGUGCGCAGACGGUCAUGUAAGUCGGGUGUGAAAGCCCCGGGCUCAACCUGGGAAUUGCAUUCGAGACUGCAUGGCUAGGGUGCGGAAGAGGAAAGCGGAAUUUCCGGUGUAGCGGUGAAAUGCGUAGAUAUCGGAAGGAACACCAGUGGCGAAAGCGGCUUCCUGGUCCAGCACCGACGUUCAGGCACGAAAGCGUGGGGAGCAAACAGG